rnacentral:rRNA from 1 species
AUUCCCCUAGUAACUGCGAGUGAAGCGGGAAAAGCUCAAAUUUAAAAUCUGGCGGUCUCUUGGCCGUCCGAGUUGUAAUCUAGAGAAGUAAUGCCCGCGCUGGACCGUGUACAAGUCUCCUGGGAUGGAGCAUCAUAGAGGGUGAGAAUCCCGUCUCUGACACGGACUACCAGGGCUUUGUGGUAUGCUCUCAAAGAGUCGAGUUGUUUGGGAAUGCAGCUCAAAAUGGGUGGUAAAUUCCAUCUAAAGCUAAAUAUUGGCGAGAGACCGAUAGCGAACAAGUACCGUGAGGGAAAGAUGAAAAGAACUUUGGAAAGAGAGUUAAACAGUACGUGAAAUUGCUGAAAGGGAAACGCUUGAAGUCAGUCGCGUUGGCCAGGAAUCAGCCUCGCUUUUGCGUGGUGUACUUUCUGGUUGAUGGGUCAGCAUCAAUUUUGACCACUGGAAAAAGGCCUGGGGAAUGUGGCAGCUUCGGCUGUGUUAUAGCCUCUGGUUGCAUACAGUGGUUGGGAUUGAGGAACUCAGCACGCCGCAAGGCCGGGUUUCGACCACGUUCGUGCUUAGGAUGCUGGCAUAAUGGCUUUAAGCGACCCGUCUUGAAACACGGACCAAGGAGUCUAACAUGCCUGCGAGUAUUUGGGUGAAAAACCCGAGUGCGUAAUGAAAGUGAAAGUUGAGAUCCCUGUCGUGGGGAGCAUCGACGCCCGGACCAGAACUUUUGGGACGGAUCCGCGGUAGAGCAUGUAUGUUGGGACCCGAAAGAUGGUGAACUAUGCCUGAAUAGGGUGAAGCCAGAGGAAACUCUGGUGGAGGCUCGUAGCGAUUCUGACGUGCAAAUCGAUCGUCAAAUUUGGGUAUAGGGGCGAAA